GGCAUUUGUUUCUAUGCAGASAUCUACCCAGCAAAGAUCUUUGGACCYUCUAAUGUGACUGAAGGAGUAAAUGUCCAUUUUAUAUGUAGUACUACUGGCAUCAGACGGCCUGAGGACAAGUUAAAUGUUUACCUUUGCAAGAAUGGAGUUGGGAUAAGAAUUGCGAAGCUGGAGAAAGGAUAAAAUGAUGCUAUUUUCACCAUGAAGAAUGUUACAAGAGAAGACUCAGGCAACUACAGCUGUGUUUACACCAGAGAUAAACCUGUACCCAGUCACUUGAAGUCAACAGGGGAGAAUUUAAUAGUCUUUCAUGUCGAUGGAGAAUGGAAAGAGGGACUAAAGAAUGUGGGAGGACAAGGCAGAGCAGGACUGGCAGCAGCCUUGGUCCUCCUGUUCAUGACUCUGUCGUUACUGCUGUUACUGUGGAGGUGCUGGGGGAUCCUGAAACCAAG
rnacentral:lncRNA from 1 species